CUCUAAUAGUUUUCCCAACAUUCCACAGCUAUUGCUAUGGAUACCUUCCACCUCAAGGAUUCCACAAAACAGCAUAGACUUGAUUUCACUAUCAGCAGGCAAUAAUAUUCCAUUCCAGGAGAGACAAAAUAUAGAUGGUAACGUAGGCAGACUCUGAACUCACCUCCUCCUAUGGACACAACAAACUUACAACUACUCUGGGAACAAUUACCCAUGAGAGAGAACUGAAAACUGGAUAAAGAGAACCCCCGCAACAAGGAACAGUCCUGACUGAGGUGGAAGAGGCAGAGAUUCCUUUCUGGAGAGAAAGAAAGCCACCUUUGCAAACCAUGGUACUUCAUGGCCAGCCAGGAGCAGUCCUAAGGUGGUGGGGCUUGUCAGCUUCAGAAGACUUGUGCUUCUCAAACAGCCACAUAGGGGAUCAGCCCCACCUUCCAAAGCCCGAAACAACUGGAUACUCCUGAGCUUGGGGCAAGCUCCAAUCAGCUGCAAUCCUGAGAGCACUGACAGGAGCCUUGUAGGGUGGAGACCUACAGCAAUUGUAAGCCCUGUGAGCCCAGCAACCAAUCACACUGGAGGCCUACUCACUUAACAGGAAAACUGCAACAGGAGUGUGCUAUUCAACCUUGCAGCCAACUGUGCUGAGGCUCCCCAUGCAUGAUAAAGUGACUGAACGGUCCAAAGCAGC
rnacentral:lncRNA from 1 species